rnacentral:rRNA from 1 species
GACGAACGCUGGCGGCGUGCUUAACACAUGCAAGUCGAACGGAAAGGCCUGCUUUCCCUUGUGGAUUGCGGGUACUCGAGUGGCGAACGGGUGAGUAACACGUGAGUGAUCUGCCCCCAACUUGGGUAUAAGCCUGGGAAACUGGGUCUAAUUCCCGAUAGGACUGCAGGGUGGUGCCUGUGGUGGAAAACGAUUUUCUAGUGGUUGGGGAUGAGCUCGCGGCCUAUCAGCUUGUUGGUGGGGUAAUGGCCUACCAAGGCGGCGACGGGUAGCCGGCCGGAGAGGGUGGACGGCCACAUUGGGACUGAGAUACGGCCCAGACUCCUACGGGAGGCAGCAGUGGGGAAUAUGGCACAAUGGGCGGAAGCCUGAUGCAGCGACGCCGCGUGGGGGAUGACGGCCUUCGGGUUGUAAACUCCUUGCGACCGCGAGGAAGCCACCUGGUUGGAAGGGUGGUGACGGUAGUGGUAGAAGAAGCACCGGCUAACUAC